AUACGGAGGGUGCAAGCGUUAUCCGGAUUUAUUUGGUUUAAAGGGUCCGUAGGCGGACUAGUAAGUCAGUGGUGAAAGCCUUCAGCUUAACUGGAGAACUGCCAUUGAUACUGCUAGUCUUGAGUUCGGUUGAAGUGGGCGGAAUAUGUGGUGUAGCGGUGAAAUGCAUAGAUAUCACAUAGAACACCUAUUGCGAAGGCAGCUCACUAAGCCGAUACUGACGCUCAGGGACGAAAGCGUGGGGAGCGAACAGGAUUAGAAACCCCAGUAGUCC
rnacentral:rRNA from 1 species